rnacentral:tRNA from 1 species
GCCCCGGUAGCUCAGUCCGGUAGAGCGGCGGGCUGCAGACCCGUAGGUCCCGGGUUCGAAUCCCGGCCGGGGCUCCA